UAAAAGCAGAAAUGUAUAUUUUUACGGGUUUAAAAGCAUCCACAGUGUUUGCUGUUGAGUCGAGAGCCUGUUCGCGCUGAGUUGACCGGCUCGUGUUGUAGCUUUAAUGUCCCUGUUUGGGUAAUGCAGGCUAAACUAAAUAGACAGGAAAUAUCUCCUCCUCAGAUGAGAGUCCGGAGGAGGAGGAGGAGGAUGAUGAUGAUGAUGGUGGUGGUGGUGGAGAAAUUUUGAUUGACGGCUCCGACGACAGCGAGCAGGAGGACGACGACGAGGCCUGAGAAGAGGCGAAGAGGAGCAGGUUUCAUGUCGACGAUGAAGGCGAGUCAUCAAGGGACCAGAGACCAGGAGGGGGAAGAGGACGCCGAGCGACUAACAGUACCAGAGCAGAGUCCUUGUUAUGCACAGAAUAUCAGUUUGAGUUUUUCUUUUUUUUAACCUAAAACUACAUAGGAGCAUUCUAAAUCAGGGUUAACUGUAAUAAUAAAGCCACUGCAGCAUGGUUCCCCCUCUAUUUUAUACAGUCACCACUGUGUAGUCACUUUUUGCAAGAUGUGUUUUUUUUGUCUACACAGGUUCUCGGGCAUGUUAUGCCAGUAGUGUUCCUCUAUUUAAGAAGGCGCAGCCUGCACGUGUGUAAUGUGACACAUCUUGAUUGCAAACUCAUCAGACGAGUAACGCCGAAGCCUUCAGGGGCAUUAUUUAGUGGUCAUUUUAAGGCACCGUUUUGGCCGCGUUUUAGAAUCGAUGUGACAAACUAAAUUGAUGCUUACGACAGUACUUUUUAGACUUGGCGAGUACUGAACCAAAAUCUGUUCUCAGGGAUGAUCAUGGUGGCGGUUUUACUGAACGAACCAUACUGAUUCCAGACAUUUACUCUCUGAUCAUUGUUGGCUGUGCAUAAGGAAACGUGUACUCUACUGUAGUGAAUAGGAACCAUUAUUGUUUUAAUAGGCUACCCGUGUUUCUCCUUCACCUCUUUGCUCAAACCUCCACCCCCCCCCCACCCCCCUGUUAAGUCUAUGAAGUUUAAAAUCAUGACGUAGUUUGAUCAACGUUUCUGUGGUUUCCUACAUUUUGUAACAUGCUAAUACAAUAAAUAGCUGAGUUUGUAUCAUUUUUUCCCCCCUUUUUAGGAUUUAAAUUAAUUCGAAUAACCUUAAAACAUUUCAGUUGUUUUCAUGUUAUGUGUUUUAAGAUCUUCUUUUUUAAAAAGAUGGUAUUUAUUUGUUUUUCUACAAAUCCACAUUAUGGCAUGCCUGUGAACAGUACGAUUACAAUACUUACAAGGCUUUUAAUGUGCACAGUGUCAGUAAAUGUAGAUGAACUCACAGCAACAUGGGUGCACUGUAUAAAAAAACAACAAAAAACUAGUAUUUGUAUUUGCUUACUUUUCUUAGCAAUGACCUGUAAAUAAUGUCUCAGCGUUGUCUUUUGGAUAAGACAAGUACACAUGUUUAAUCCAUGGAUAAUUUAUCAAAUAAUCUGAAGUUUUCCAUGAACGUGAUCAGAAAGUUAUAUUUUGUGUGCUGUGUUUUAUAGAACACUGUAGUUUAAAGAUACCUACUUGAUUGUUGCUUUGGUUUAUUUUGUUUGCUUAAAGAUAAAUGUCCACCUUUUGACAGAGACCUAAUAAAAUAGGCAGAUGUUUUACCUUC